GUGUGUAGGCGGUUGUCUAAGUUUGGUGUGAAAUCUCCCGGCUCAACUGGGAGGGUGCGCCGAAUACUGAAUGACUCGAGUGCGGGAGAGGAAAGUGGAAUUCCUGGUGUAGCGGUGAAAUGCGUAGAUAUCAGGAGGAACACCGGUGGUGUAGACGGCUUUCUGGACCGUAACUGACGCUGAAACACGAAAGCGUGGGUAGCAAACAGGAUUAGAUACCCUGGUAGUCCACGCCCUAAACGAUGCACAUUUGGUGUGGGUCAUUCAGUUGAUCCGUGCCGGAGCUAACGCGUUAAAUGUGCCGCCUGGGGAGUACAGUCGCAAGGCUGAA
rnacentral:rRNA from 1 species